CUCAGUUAGAGCGAAUCGAGAACAUGCUCACCGCUUUUUUAACGAUAACCUUUAUUACUAUUUUCAAUGUUGUAGCCUGGAACCCUACGGACCCAGAGUUGGGACGAGGGAGUAAUUUAAAUGGCUCAAAUUUCGGCAGCUGCCUCAACAGAGCAAGCUGUUCCAAAAGAUUGGGUAUGAAUUUUCCCAUGUAGUUGACCAUUCCCAUAAAUCUUUGAACAUCCUUUUUACAUUGCGGUCUUGGCAUGCGUUCAAUAGCAGAAACCUUCAAUGGAUCAGGACACACACCCUGUUUGCAGAUGAUAUCACCCACAAAGAUGAUCCCCAAACAGUAAUAUCAUCCAUGGAAAUAUCUACACCCUCAAUAUGCUCAUAUAGCAUGUGAGUAGUUUUAUGGUGCACUUCAGGAGCUGAUGCAAUUCCAAAUGGAAGCCUAAGAAAAUGGUAUCUGGCGAAAGAAGUGCUAAAGCGCCUCUCAGAGUCUAUCUAACUCGAUGUCCCAGUUGUGAAAGGUGGAAAUGGGUAAAGCUAGCCAAGAGGGCCCUGGUGAAGCUGUAUAGGCCAAUCCCUCUACACUGGAUACAAUGGAAUACAGAAACAUUGAUGAACUCCAACCAUACCAUCAACUUUGUGAGAAGAGGCUCCUCAAUGAGUGAGCACAUGACACGAACGAUGGGGACAGUACACUCCUGCUCCACCCUUGAGAAACUGGCUCAGAGCAGAGGAUAAUGGAGACGCAAGGUUAUUGAUGGCCUAUGCUCCACUGGGAGCUAAGGGACCAAGAAUAAAAGGAAUCUUCAACAGCAGUCAUUUAAGUUUAAUUUAAUUAGCUGAUUCUUUUCCCCUCACAACACUCCCUGGAGAUAAACUUCAAAAGAGCAAAUAAAAUGAUGAUUUAUUUUGCCA